CGGGGCCUUAGGGGCGUUGCAGGUGUGACUGCUGUGUCACAGGUGAGUCAUAGGUGACAAAGAGGAGAGAGGCUAUGUCUAUGCUCAAUGUUCUGGCCUAUAAACAUCUGAAUGAUUAGUAGCCUAACAUC